rnacentral:snoRNA from 12 species
UCAAUGUGGAUAUCCUGUGAGGUUACUCUCAUGGGCUCUGUCCAAGUGGCGUAUGGGAGCGUAGUGCUUUAUGGCGCAGUGACGUACAAUCCCUUUCCACAACAUUGAAGAACAAGCAUGUCCUCGGCCAUUAGGCUGUUGUGGGCAGCGUCCUGUAUAUUCCUACAACUUCCCAAAGCCAAAAUGGCUCUUACUGGGGAGACAAACCAUGCAGGUUACAUCU